rfam:Phascolarctobacterium sp. CAG:207 genomic scaffold, scf112
CGGCGGGUCCUGCGCAAUAGGAGUCUGUGAACCGUGUCAGGUCCGGAAGGAAGCAGCACUAAGCGGAUCCUCUUAUGUGCCGCAGGGGUGCCUGCGUCUG